rnacentral:rRNA from 1 species
AUUGAACGCUGGCGGCAGGCCUAACACAUGCAAGUCGAGCGGAGCGGCGGACGGGUGCGUAAUGCCUAGGAAUCUGCCUGGUCGUGGGGGAUAACGUCCGGACACGGGCGCUAAUACCGCCUAUUAUCAGCUGAGCCUAGGUCGGAUUAGCUAGUUGGUGGGGUAAAGGCCUACCAAGGCGACGCUCCGUCACUGGUCUGAGAGGAUGAUCAGUCAGACUGAAACUGAGACACGGUCCAGACUCCUACGGGAGGCAGCAGUGGUGAAUAUUGGACAAUGGGCGAAAGCAUGAUCCAGCCAUGCCGCGUGUGUGAAGAAGGUCGUCGGAUUGUAAAGCACUUUAAGUUGAGAGGCGUUACCAACAGAAUAAGCACCGGCUAACUUCGUGCCAGCAGCCGCGGUAAUAC